rnacentral:rRNA from 1 species
GUGAACGCUGGCGGUCGGCCUAACACAUGCCAGUCGCACGGCAGCACAGUAAGAGCUUGCUCUUACGGGUGGCGAGUGGCGGACGGGUGAGGAAUACAUCGGAAUCUACUUUUUCGUGGGGGAUAACGUAGGGAAACUUACGCUAAUACCGCAUACGACCUACGGGUGAAAGCAGGGGAUCUUCGGACCUUGCGCGAUUGAAUGAGCCGAUGUCGGAUUAGCUAGUUGGCGGGGUAAAGGCCCACCAAGGCGACGAUCCGUAGCUGGUCUGAGAGGAUGAUCAGCCACACUGGAACUGAGACACGGUCCAGACUCCUACGGGAGGCAGCAGUGGGGAAUAUUGGACAAUGGGCGCAAGCCUGAUCCAGCCAUACCGCGUGGGUGAAGAAGGCCUUCGGGUUGUAAAGCCCUUUUGUUGGGAAAGAAAAGCAGCAGGUUAAUACCCCGCUGUUCUGACGGUACCCAAAGAAUAAGCACCGGCUAACUUCGUG